rnacentral:siRNA from 1 species
GCGAUACUGACGUGCAAAUC